rnacentral:sRNA from 1 species
GCAAGCGUUAUGAGGGUUGGUACACGU